GAAGGACCAAGCCGAUGUGCUACUUGCAAUAAACGGGUUGGUUUGACUGGAUUCAAAUGUCGCUGUGGUGACCUCUUCUGUGGGACGCACCGUUAUGCAGACAUACACAACUGCUCCUUCAAUUACCAUGCCGCUGCGCAAGAAGCUAUAGCUAAAGCAAACCCGGUUGUGAAGGCAGAAAAGCUUGACAAAAUCUGAAGAACUCAAAACUCAAACACCAAAGUGAUAGACUACGACCUCCUUAGGAGCAUUUAGAAUUGGAAAUGAAGGUUUAGAAUUUUACAUAUUUAUUAUUAUUGCCUACUAAGGUGUUUACUCCUAUAAGAGGGAGACAUUUGAUUCUAAUAAAAUCAUCCAUUAAGAGAUCAAAGAAACGGAGUUGUCUCCUCUAAAUCUAAUAAACGAGGAGUUUGUCAGCUUCUUGAAUAAAUAGCAUAUUGAUAGAUACUGCCCAGAGGCGUCUAUCACAAAGUUCCCUUUCUCCUAUCUGCGCCUGAUUCAAGGUGUCCCUCAUGUUAACUAAGGUUUAUAAAGUAUACUUCCAAAUAUAAACCAUUACUAGAUCCAAGCGUGGGUUUUUUGGAUUAUAUUAUAAUACAAAGUCUUAUUAUAUCAAAAAAAUAUAAUUUUGAACAGUUAUAUAAUUUAUGAAUUAGUUUAUUUGAGACUUUAUAUGUACAUUUUUACGUAAAUUUCUUUUAGGCAUGAGAAUUAUAUCCGGAUAAAAAAAACAAACUGAAUCGACCCGAAAAUAUAGGUUUAGUUCAGGUCCAGAGAAGAUAACCUAUUGGGUUUUUGGACCUGUAAGUCUUUGUUUGAGUCAAUGUACUAUUCUAGACCCGAUCAUAAAUAUGUUGUGUUUAUUAGAUAUAUUUGGAUAUUUCGAAUAUGUUUCCGGUAUUAUGAAUAUUUUUUUUAAGUUUUGGUUUACGAUUAUAGUUUUUGAUUUCACGUAAAUUUUCAAAUUUAAAAAAAAAAUUGGGUAUUUUUUAAGUUCAUCGUGUCAGAUUUUGAAUAAGAUUUUGAAUUUUUAGGUAUUUGAAUUUUUUUGGUAUUCGUUAGGAAUUUCAAAUAUUUUUUCAGAUUUUUUAGAUAUUUUGAUAUUUUUUUUAGGAUCCUAAAUACCCGAACAUAUGUGGACCCAUUAUGUCCAUAUGAAGUCUAACAACCUUUUGAUAUAGAUUUUUAACGUUAUUGUACAAAAACAUGGUUGAUAAAAUAUUUUUCUGAGUAAAAGUAUCAUAAGGAAUAAUAUUAGGAUCUGUUAAAAAUAUUUAAAAUAUUGUAUGGUUAGAAUGAUUAAUGGUAUUACUAAAAAAAAAGUUAUACAUGACUCCAACAACUUUUUUAUAUUAGAUUUUUAAGAUUAUUUCUCUUUUAAUAGUAUUGAUUCGUUUUUAAAUGAAAAGUAUAUAAAAGUAUAAUAUCUAGACCAAUAAUUUUCAAAAUCGUAAAUAAUCAAUACUGAUAUCGUGAAGUCGGGUUAAUUUUAACAGAACCAAUGAAUUUAUUUUGUGAAGGUAACAUGAAAUAUUCAGAAAAUUCAUUUUUAAAUAUGAAAAUAUCUAUCAAAACUAUAGACGGUUGAAAGUUUAGCAUAUGAUAUGAGAUUUUAGUAGAAACGUUUAUAUAUGAUAUGAUUACUUUAUUAUAAAGUAAAGAUGAAGUUAGAAUGUACACAUAUAUGUCAUGUAACCUCUCUUGAUUUAAAUCAUAUAUUAUAUGAUAAAAAUGAUAAUAUAAAACAUUAGUUUCAAUGCUUUUACGAUUAAAAAUCAAAAUGGUAAAUAUAGUAAUAAUAGUGAUUAAAAUUUAGGAGUGAAAUUUGAAUAAAUAAAGGAAUUGAAUAAAUUAUUAUUAGAGAAAUAUAUGGUAACAUAUUGUUAGUCUAAAUUUAAGGUAAGACAAAAAAAAAUAAUAAGAUAAAUGAAAGGGUCCAAACAACUUUUAUAGGUAGAUUUUUUAAGACUCCUUCCCUUUUAAUAGUAUUGACUAGAUUUUGAUCCGCGCUUCGAAAGCGCGGAUUUUUUAAAACUAUAAACAUAGUUUUAUAUGAAUUAGUAUUUCGGAUUGUUGUACAUUAUUAUGUUACGAAAUCAUAUUAUAUUGAAGCAGAUAAUCUUAAAAAAAUAUAAAUUAGGUUAUUUAGUUUUUUGUAUAUACAUUUUUAUGUAACUCUUUCUAAGUCUGUGCAUUUUAUCUGAUCCAAAACAACUGAGAUCUACCCGAAAAUAUAGGUUCGGUUCGGGUCCAUGGGAAAGGUACCUAUUGGUUAUUUUAUAACACCCGUAGGUUUUGACUUUGUUCCAAUCAGACAUGAAACUCGAUCGGAUACCAAAAGUACUCAGAUUAUUUUUGUAUAUUAGGUAUGUUUGGGCAUUUCAUAUAUCUUUUGGUAUUACGAAUAUUCUUUUAAGUUUCAGGUUUGUGUUUCUGGUUAUAGUUUCAGGGUUUACGUAGAAUUUCAAAAUUUUAAGAACAUAUUUCGCGUAAUCAGAUUAAAUUUUAGGCAUUUUUGGUUUCGCAGAUCAGAUUUUGAGUUAAAUCGGGACUUUUCGAGUAUUUGAAUAUAUUUCGGGUAUUUACUGAUUUUCAUGUAUUUUUUGGAUUUCAUAUAUUUGCAGGUUUACUCGUACUUGGGGUCCUAGAUAUCCAAACCUACCAGGAUCCACUAUAUACCUGAAAAUUAUAUGUAUUUUUAUCUGGAUCCACUACAAACCUACCUAGAUCCACUAUAUACUUGAAAAUUAUAUGUAUUUUACGACUAUUUAAAUUAUGGAUCCAAACCAACUCAUACCCGAAAGAAACCGAUUCAAAUCUAAACCAAAAAAAAAAUUGACAUCACCAAAAAAUUAUUAUAUUUUAGAUUCUCAAUAAAUAUAGCUUAAAACAUUUAUAACAUUUAUAAUAUUUUUGAUGCUUAAUAUAUGAGAGUAAUGAUAAUAGCUCCUUAUUAAAUGGGAAGAAAUGCUAUAAUAGCUAUCGGGAUUUAUCACAUUUACCGUACAUGAUAUAUAUAGAAGUUAGAUGAAAAUAUGGAACGUAUAAGUUAUGAUCUUUUACGAAUCGGGAUAUGUUGUUACGCAAAAGACUUAAAAAUAUCUUCUAGGAUAUUAAACACUAAUUCUUAACUUGACUGUAUACAUAUUCCACAAACAUUAGAAUACUAUGAUAAUUAAUAUAUAUAUAUAUAUAUCAGUAUGUAUAGUAAACCGGUUUGGGUAUUAUCAACAUAUACUAUGUUAUAAAUAUGUUUAUUCUAAAAUUAAUAAUAUGUUUGGUUUAAACAUAUUCGUUCGUGAAUGGGGAUGUUCUUAUAUAUGGCUUGAAUCUUAAUUUCAAAAUUAAAUUGGAAGUCAGUUCGAUCCAAAACGGAAUUGACGUUUUAUCAUAUGUUACAACACAUCACUUGUACAAUUAGGAAUUAUAUAUUACAAAUUUAUAAGUGCUACAAAAAUGUCAUUUUAUCAUAGUAUAUUAUCGAUAAUAUAAACCUCAAACUAUAUGUAAAUAGUGUUCAGGAAAGCUUUAAAUUCAUUAAAGUAUUUCAUGGUGUUUUCAAUUUCGUAUAUAGGUGUUGUGAUAAUAUACGUAUGUAAUAUAUAUGGUUUGAGUAAACCACUAAAUUUGAUAUGUAUCUCAUGUUACCUUAUAUUGUUAGAGAAAUAUUAGGUAAGACCAAAAAAUAAUUAACUAAUAAAUAGGUCCAACAACUUUAUAUAAGUAAAUUUUUUCAGAAUAAUUUUCUUUUAAUAGUAUAGAUACAUAGUUUAAAACAAAGUACAAGAACAACGUUAUAAAUAUCAAAUUCUGAAUAAUAUAUUUGCUCAUUUUGACACAACCAAAUACACAUAAUAAUAAAAAACAUUUGUACGAGUCAAACGCUAGAUAUAUUGUUCGAUCACCACAUAAACACAAUGGUGAUCGUUUUAUUUUACAGAAAACAAACCCCAAAAUGUUCACCAGGACAUAAAACUACGUUUUUACCAUACAAUGAAAAAACGAUUUUAGGAAUCAUAGGAAACCAGAACAAUUUAAAACCGAAUGACUUCCUAAAAUGUCUAUAUACAUAUAUUUUAUCAAAAAGUCACUUAAUGCAGGAACAAAACAUCUCUUCUCUGUACAAAAUUUUCCUCCUACGUAUCCCCUUCCGUGAUGAGAGCUACAACUACUGCUUAUACGUUCACCUACCUGAAAAGAAAAGUCCAGGUAAGUGAAAAAAAAAACUCAAAUAAUCCAGGAAGGCAUAUUAUUAACUGAAAACACACAAGCUAUGUUAAAUUAUUAGAUGACCAAAAUAUGAAAACGGGAAGUGGUUGUUGGUCUCAGAUGAAACAGAAAGCGAGCUAUAGACAAGAAACACUUUAGUACACUAACAGAUGACGAUGAUAGAGAAGUAAGUUCAUACUUGUAUUUUCUGGUCCUGUUCAAUUGAUUCCCUUCAGGUUGAGGAGCUUUUUCCACCACAUAAGAAGCAAUCAAGGUAUCCAGUUUUACCAACCAGAGAGCAAUCGCAGAAGUUGUUCGAGGCAUAGAAGGGAAGCUAGUUAUAAUUUCUCCCUCCUCCUCCUCACCAAAGUGCCAUAACCAAUCUUCAUUGAUUGCUCCAACAAAGUCCCCAAUCACCUUCAGACCAUGAUUUAGCAACAAGAGGUAAGUUAGAGAACAAUCAAUUUCGGACUAAAAUAAGGAAAAAGGGAGCUUUGCAUAAUAAAAAUGAAAACCUGCGUAAUUUCAGACAACGUUGAGCUUCGUCGAAGCCUUUUUGCCCAUAACCUAUGAGCUGACUUUUUCCAUGCACCAAUCAAGGCAUCUUCGGGCAUUGCAGACUGAAAAAUGUUAACCAAGAAAGGGAGCAGUUUCUUAACACAAACCAAGAAAGACGGAAAAGAUUAAAAAUAGUAAAGCAAAAACGACUAUCUCGACAGACCUCAAUGGCAUACACUGCAGCCUUUAGUGAUUGCAACUGGGAAGAACGAACUUUGUGAUCUGGAAAUGAAUCACUACUCUCUUCAUUCUUCCUGCUGCAUGUGGCUUCAUGAAUCGCAUAUCUUUCUUCAAGAUCUAUAUCAAGCUCAAAGGUAGCAUGGCAAAUCUUGCAGUGCUUCUCAUCUCUCCAAUACAAAUCAUGACAACUCUUACACCUAGUAAGCGAAUCAAGGUAGGAUCUUCGGCUGUGUUUAACAACAUUGAGAUUAAGAUAAUAUUUAUCCCAUAUCCAUUCAUCAAACUCCUGAACAAGGCUCCAUAAUAGGCUGUUGCCCCGCUUCUCAAAUACUAUAGCUGCUUGUUGAUCAUUGGCAAUCUCAUUGAGACAUAGGUUGUUGUUGUCUAUAUCAGAAACCGGUGAAGAAGAACUGUCCUCUCUGACUACAUGGUCAAUUCUUCUUAACAUGGCUUGACAGAGAAAACUUUCUCGUUUCUCCAAUGACUCAAUAAGCCGAGCUUCCCGUCUACCCCUAUCGUCCAACACUGACAACAGUGCCCGCAAAGCCUGCACCAAGCCAAAAAAUAGGGAAAUGUUAGGCAAGGAAUCAAUCCAACUUACACAAUACAAGUUUUCAUUUAAUUUGUGCACAAUGACAUCACCUCCUUGUGGCUGAUAACUUCCCAGUGACCAUCUUCAGAAGAUUCAAAGUAGACACACCUAUGACCAGGGUCAUUCGCGUUGCAUGGGCCUAAGAAAAGCCAGUACCUGUUGAACCUACGGUCAGAACCAAGGUAUACAGAUUGCAUAGGGUGAACAUUGUCUCCAGCGAGCUUUGCAAAAUCAGCCCCCACAAUUGAUGAUGAAUCAACUGGAUGAGAAUCAGACGGUUUAGAUAGCUUUUCGAUUCGCUCUCCUCCAUGGACCCAUGAUACGCGUGGAUGAUUAGAGGAUGAUGCUCUCUUGAUUUUUCCACCAGAACCAUGACUAUAGAUACUAGGGGCACAGUCAACCAUAGCUCUGGGUAAAUCCUCCAUUCUAAUAGUGGAACCAGAACUAAGAAGAUCAAUCAAAGCGAUGAAAACAUCUAACUUCUCUUCAAUGCUUAAGUCUGAAUAUUCCCCCUCCAUUAGCCCCAACAACCAUGCUUCUCCAGGAUGGCUUUCAUCAAUCUCACUGCAUACUUCCAACACCUGCUUCCGCCUUUUCCUACACUUGGCUUUUCGAAAUACAAAACUUUCUGAAACACGCCCCAACUCAUCACCAGAUUCAUCAUCAUCAACACUUCCAGACUCGCCCGAAUCAGACUCAUGGUCCUCAGAGAAACAAUUAACACGUGCACGAUAUGUAGAUUCAGAUAUUUUUUCGAAAAGUGUAAUAUCACUUGCCAGCGUUGAACAUAUUGAACGCUCUCGUUCUUCUUCUGAUGCAGUUGCAAGAUUCAGCGCAGCAACCUAUAACAUUAACCAGCAGCCUAUUCUAUUAGAUAUAAUAAUCUUAGGAUUUACUAACAAGAAGCUGAUAAUAAUUUCAGAAAAAACUACCUCUACUGCUGCAUUUGCUAACUCGGAUAUUUUCAAGCCAUUUUUGCCUCCUUGCUCGUUAAGCAUUCUAAAUAAUUCACCCUUUAAUGUUCCAAGACGGAGGCCAUACUUUUUCAUGAGUCUCCUUUCCUACAGGAGGUAACAUCAACCAAUAAUGCGUCAGAAAAUUAAAGAAAAAACCUAUAAACGACAUAGAACAUGCACAGGAGGAUAUAAAAGAAAAUUGAGCAAGAACCUUCAGUAUUCCACACGCAACUAACCCAUCUUCAAGAAUAAACAAAGCAUGCUAGUAUAUGGAACUUUGAUACGAAUGAAAAGGACAAGAGAUGUAGCAUUUGUAGGCAUUUCAUGUGAUGAACUAUAUUUUCGGUGCCAAGCAAAUAGAGUAGACAGAUGGUUGUUUCAACGAAUCAAAAGGGUUGCACGAAAUCAGCACCUUACUUAGUUCCUCUGAUUGACCAGCAGCCCGCUUUACAGAACCAAAACCAGCUGCAACCAAUAUCUGACGCAAUAUCUCCGCCCAUGUAAGAGAAUUUAAUGAAUCCUUCCACAUAUCAAGAAUAAGAAUUUGGCUCUCCACCUAAAAAAAAAAUAUCAUGGAGAAUGUCAAAACCUGUCUCUCAAACGGAAGUAUGCCAAGGAAAAAAAUAGAUAGCUCCACAUACCGACUGCAGCAGGGCUAGAAACUUGCAUGAUAUACUCAAGGUUGAAAAAGAUCCCCUUUGCAGCUCGGUUUCAACAUCAAGCAGAAGCAACUUCAGCAGGGAAAGAUGAAUUUUACCAAGGAGCAAGGAGUCCUGAAAGAGGAAAUGCAAUAUGUUAUUUUAAGAAACAGUUUCCUUCAGCAACAUAAGAGAUUUGACUAUUUGUUAUUAUCAAAUAAGAGAGAGCACCUUAUCAUGAAAUGCCCGUGUGAACUCGUCGAUAGUGAAGGGACAUAUAUCAAGAGUUACUGAAUAAGUAUACAGGAAAUGGACAACCUGUCAACACAUAUGUAGUACUAGGUCAGCUCCAAGAAAUGUAAUUUUAAGAAGAAAUCAAUCACGAAGUGCACACCUUAAAAAGUUUCUUGACAGACUCUGGAGAAGAAUUCCAUGGAUGCAAAGCAAAAGGCAGCCUCAUGCCAACAGAACUUGGGGGAAACUUGGGCAAUAAAUCUGGAAACAAACAACAAAAUAGAUGUAAAAAAAGGUACUUGAGAACGAAAACUCACUCUCCCUAGGAUUGAACCAAGACACAUACCUUUGCAUAGAAAACAAGAUCCACUAGUAGCAGUAUGGCAUGAACAAGUUAACGGAGGAUUCACUAGCCCUUCCUGUCUCUCCAAUUCCUCGUCAUCAACUAGUAUCGACAUUGUUUGACAGGUUUCUUUAAAUACCUCCCCGAGCUCACAUUUCUCACUAAAUCCCACCGUCUCAUCUUUGUUUAAUUCUUCGGUGGUCUGCAGCAAGCAAGCAAGAGUCAAUCAAAUCAUAUUUGUUGGCUUAUUGAAUCUAAGCUACCUCUGUAUUUAUAGAAUUCCUCUUCUUUUCCGUCGGCUUCUUCUUCUUCUUCUGCUUCUGCUUCUGAAGAAAGCAAAACAAUUGCAAUAAACAAUAAGUUCAAAAAGGCAAUAAAAGAGGUAAAAACAAGUAGUACCAGUAUAGAUGCUAAUUGUGUUUUGGUCUUCUUGGGAUUGCUUUGAGCUAAGGUUGCUCUUUCGUGGCUAUUUGGAUUCAUAACACGCCACGCUGUCAUCAAACCCUUGCCAAUACCAUAUUGUUUCUUCUUUACAACAACGCAAUCAUCUUGACUAGUGUGCUUCUCGGAAACCUAAAUAAAAGAAAAAUAAAUAAAGAUCAAAGAGUAACUAACCUUUCUCUUUUGCAAUAAUGAAAGAUGAUUCCACUAACCUUUCUCUUUCUCCCCACUCUCUGUUGAUCAAGAGAUGAUGAUGAAGGAGGAAGAUGGUCAAAUUGAAAACCAAGUGAGGGGCCGUCUUUUCUAAAAACCUUAGCCAAAAUGUACUGUGAGGUCAACAGCUUUUGACAAUUGAUCUUCCGAAGAGCAGAGCGAGGAAUCUUCGCCCUCACCGCCGCCGCCACGGAGGAUUUCUUUCUACUUGUUCUUCUCCUCUCAUCCAUUUUCUCUGCAUUCAUCACAUGUAAGGUAGACACGAACUGCCCCUGUUCAAACACGGGGGAGAUACGACUGCGCCGGUAAGAGGACCGCCGCGAUUUCGGAUCGACUCGCUCUGAUCUUCACCUUCUGUAUCAGAAAAAUCUGAUGCUACUUUUGUUUAGAUAUAUCUUUAGAAAUGAGAUUUUGUGGAGGGUUUUAGGGUUUUGGAGGAGAUAGAAAUGAAUACAAAAUGACUCUUUCACCCUUCUUUAAACCUUUUACAAAAAAAAUAAUAAUAAUAAGUAUAACAAAUUUGACGUUCGUGCCCGGGUAAAGUAAAGAGUGAGAGAUUGGAACAGCCACUGCACUAACUAAAUUCUGGCUAACCAGACUAACUCUUUUUAGUAAUUAACCUUAAACCUAUAAAAAAAAUUUCAAAAACUCCCCACAAUUAAUUCACGUUUAAUCUCCGAUUAACUGGUUCAACGCUUGGUAUCAAAAUAAAAAGCUUCCAGAACUUGAAGUUAAGCUCGCGAUUUCCUCUUCGUAUCCAAUAAAAUUUAAAAAAAAUUGAGAACUCUGAUGUUCGUCAAUCAAAACCAGGCGCAUGACACUCGACGCAUUCGUCAACGUCAAAUCAUCCCCUUAAUAAAUAAAUAAAAAAUCCAAAUAUCUCCCGAAAUAUAUUUACACCAAAAAAGUAUCAAAAUAAAAUAAAAAGAUAAAUGAUAAAUAUGUUUGUUUUAAGGGCAAUUGCAAUAAUAGCACUUUUUGAAGUUUCUGUCUCAAAAAUAGCACUAGAAGGAGAAACUCACAAAAAUAACAUUCAUUAAAGGGUAAAAUAUCUCUAAUACCCUUGAUUUAAAAUUAAAUAAAUACAUAAAAAUAAAUAAAAAUAAAUAAAAUAAAAAUAAAAAAAGAAAAAAAAAUAAAUUAUUUUUAUAGUUUCAGAUUAUAUGUUUUCAGAUUCGAAAUUUUUAUAAAUUUUUUUUUGAAAUUUUUUUUGAAUUUUUUUUUAUUUUUUUUUCAAAUUUUCUUUUUAUAAUUAAAAAAUACUUUUUGAAAUUGUUUUUAAAAUUUUAUUUUUUAUUUUAGUAUUUAUUUUUUAUAAAAUUUUAAACUCUAAUUCCAAAACCCCAUCCCUUAACUCUAAACCCUAAGGUUUGGAUUAAUUAACCCAAGGGGUAUAAGUGUAUAUUUACCUCUUUAAUGAAACCUAUUUUUGUGACUUUGAACCUUGAGUGCUACUUUGGGAACAAAAACUUAGUUUGGUGCUAUUCUAGUCUUUUUCUCAUGUUUUAACUGAUUUAUCUUUUUAAAUAAUUAUAUAUUAAUAAAAUAUUAAAAUUGAAUUUAAAUAUCUAACCAUAUUUUAAUAACUAAAAAAAAUUGAGAAUUUGAAAUGAACAAAAAGAGAAAAAAAAAAUCAAAGAAUCAGACAAUUAGAUACAUACACUUAUAUAGCCGACUCUUACAUAAACGGUGUGAAUAAAAUGUAAAACAUCUCUAAAAAAAUAUCGAAGAAAGAAAGCCCAAAUAGCCGAAACUUUUUUCUUUCUUCCUUUUUAUUUUUAUUUGAUAUCGUUAUAUCGGGUUAGGGUCUCGAUUUUAUUUUCCAAUUUUGAUUUGCCCUUUUGUGUUUUUUUUUUCUGUCGACUUAUUGAUGCAGAGAAAUAUUUAGAUAUAUUCCAAAUAUUUUUAUUAUCUAGUUUAUACUUAUUUUAAUAUUUAUCUUAAUUAGUUAGAAUUAUCUUAAAAAUUUUUAAUAAUUUUAUAGUUAUUUAGUUUUCAUAUAAAUAGGCAUCUUAGACUAAAUAAAAAUCUUUGUAAUUAUAGUAGCUUCUGCUACCUCAGGUAGUAUCAGAGUUGGUAUUUUGGUUUCUUAAUGUUGAAGGGAAACAUUUAUUUUUCGCAAAAGAAAAUUUGUUUUCUGAAAGUGAAAACACCGUUUAUAUCAAUGUUGUUGGCGAUCCAAUAUUCGAUGUCUAUGAUGAUGUUGUUCUGAAAGAGAAAGACGCUCAUGUUAAAAAUUAUAUUUGUGACGAUGAUGAAAACAAUUUCAUCAAAAUUGCAAGGAUCAGCGAUGGGCAUGUGGUGGCUGUCUCGGAAGAUGGAACUACUACCAAGAAUUUCCAUAUCAUAUCGACGAAAUAAGACGUCAUGUAUCAGUGUUUUUAAAUCUGAACCGAACUGGCGAUCAGACCAGGUUAAACCAUGAACCAAAAAUAAUCUAAAAACCCUUAUCGAACCGUCAAAAAUCCAGAAACCGACGGCUCAAUUAACCAGCCAAACCCCGGUUCGUAUAUAAGCCAAAAUUUGUUAUUAAUUUUUCUUUUUUUAAAGUAAAAAUAAGAUUUAUCAAAGAUUAAUAAAGUAUAGUCUCUCGUCUUUUUGUUUUGUCUUCUUUAGAACUCAUAAAUUACAAGAUUCACAAAGUUUAAUAUUCACGUCAAGAUAUUGUUUUGUCUACUUCUCAUUUUUUAAAAAAAAAUUAUUUCAUGAUCACUUAUUUUGAAGACUUUAAAUCAUUGAAACAUUUUCGUUUUUGAAAUUUGUAUUUCAAAAUAUAACUUUUACCUAAUGUGUAUAUAAUUUUUUUUAAAGGUGAUGAAGAUGUAGAGUGAUAAGAUCUACGAAUAAAGUUUAAAUGUGCUUUCCAUAUUGUUUUAUGAUUUUAAUUUUUUUUUUUGUUUUUCUACACAUUAUGACUAUUUAAACAUUUUAUUUGAUAUGAUAUAUUUUUUUAAAAAAAUAUGCAUAUUAUUUAUAAAAUAUCAUUAAAUUUAGUUUAAUCUAAAUAAAUUCGAUCGAACCCGGUUCAGAUCCGGUCGAAUUACAAUGAGCCAUGACCCAAAACAAUUCCGGUUCGCUUGCCGGUCCAGUUUUAAAAACACUGUCACGUAUAUAUUCAACAGCACUAGAAGCCAAUCAGAUGUGUUUCCUUGGGGUUUUGGAGUAAAAAAGGAGGUUUCAUGCAAAUUAUGGAAAUUUUGGCUAAAGGCAAUACAUGUCGUAUAAUUUGUUUGGAGAUGAAUAAAUAAGAAGGUGAAGAGAUACAAAUGGAAGAGAUGCAAAAUAAUAACAUUUCAUGUGAAGAUUUCAAAUCUGGUUUUGGGGUUGAAGAUCACAGUUAAGAUUCAAGGACAAAUCUUCUCUAACCCGGAAAGAAUGAUACAGAGAGAUAUUUGGAUAUAUUCUACAUAUUUUUAUUAUCUAGUUUACAAUUAUUUUAGUAUUUAUAUUAAUUAGUUAGAAUUAUCUUAAGAAUUUUUAAUAGUUUUUUAUUGUUAUUUAAUUUUCAUAUCAAUAGAGGUCUUAGACCAUACGCAACGCGGGUUGUUAGGUAUUUCUUAGCGCUAAUCCUUAGGGAAAUUUGGAAUAAAAACGAUUAUUAAAUUAGGUUAAGCUAAGAAAGAAUCCUUACCUAAGGAUUUUUCGGCUUUGGUCCUAGAUGAGCUGGCAACACCUGAUUCGUGCGGAGAAGCGUUGUGUUUCGUAUAGCGAAAGUCAAACUUUCAUUUACGCGACUCGAUCUGAAUAAAAAACCUCUACAUCUCUCCAGGCGAAGGCAAAGGCGAUUCGUCGAUCCGCGUCGUUGAAGGUAAAGCCGACCGUUUAAACUCAUUAUUUUUUCUUAUGGAGUUGAUGCAUGUUGAUUUCAUCAGUUUUUAGGGAUCCGAUUGGGGGAUUUGAAUAGCUUUCGGCCUUGAAAUCGAAUUGGGGAUUUAAUUCGAAUUAGGGUUUCCAUCUGGGUUUGCUUUUCUCUUCUUUUCGAUAAGCUUCUUUGUUGUUUCGUCGCGAUUACGGGUUCGGGUUUGAGUGUAAAUCGAUUUAGGGUUUUAUAAAUCGAUUUAGGGUUUUCUAAUUUGGGGAUUUUGAUUCGAUUAUAUUUUUUUGUUCUUGUAGGUUCUAAAUGGAGGAAGAAAUGCGAGAUAUGAAAGCACACAAAGCAUACUACAACAUGCUUCAUUUCGUUUCAGAAGCCCAACAUGGAAUUCCCAAGUUGUGCCCCCGUGGAUCUAUCACGAAGGAGUUCGUCGACGAAGAGGAUUCAUAUGACUACCUCCCCGGGAAAAGAUACUUCAUCUGCAAAGACUACCAGGUUCAAAAUGUUCUGUCUCUUUAUACUCCAUAUUGAUUUUCUGUUUGAUUAAUCAUUUAAUGUUUUCGCAGAAUGACGGGAUGCAUUUCAGGCAACCAUGGGUUAUGGGUGUGCAACAAGAGUUUGAGAGGCUCAAACAUCGCAUGAUGGAGCAGGAGAAGCUUCAGCUAGAGUGCGAGGCGCUUAAGGUUAGUUUAUAAGUUAAUGUUCAUUGGUGUUUGUACAAUCUUUCUAACACAUUGUUUGUUUUCUGUGAUGUCUCUUCAGUACCAGGUUAAGAUGCUUCUUCAGCGUGUGUCUGAACUUGAGAAAGUCCGCUGAGGUUAGUGUUUUGAACUGUGUCUCCUUGUAGUUUAAUUUUGAGAACAAAGUAGGAUAGUGCAUGUGUCUCCUUGUAGUUUGAGUUCAAAGUAGGACCGUCUGUGUGUAACUUUGUUGAAACUAGGAUCGUGCGUGUUUCUCCUUGCAGUUUGAAAACAAACUAGGAUUGUACUGGUUAACGUUCUAGUUUGAAACUAAACUUAACUUCGUAGUUUAAAUGCACACCAAACCACCACUAAAUUAUUCCUUAACUGCUUCUUUUAGACUAAAACAUUAAUUUUAUUGUCGUGAGCUGUUUUGAUAUGACAGUUUCCUACUAGGCUUCAAUGCUGUUAAUGUAGAAUCCUUUAUUUAAUCCUCUGUGUUUCUACUAGAGAAACACAGACUUCUUCCUAAAUGGCAAAUAACAAUGGUUAUGUUAACUUAUUAGCGAGCCAAGGGUCAAUUGACUUUGGCUCAUCACAACCUUUUUUCUUUACCGGUCAAAGUAGUGAUGAGUCUAGUGUCAAAGAGAGGAGAAAGUGGACACCGAAGGAGGAUUUAAUCCUCAUAGGUGCGUGGCUCAACACCAGCAAAGACCCAAUAGUGAGCAACGAACAAAAAGCUGGUGCCUUCUGGAAGAGAAUUGUAGAGUACUACAAUUCUAGUCCUCUCCUGGUUGGGACUAUCCCACGAGAACUUGGGCAAUGCAAGCAAAGAUGGGCUCGGAUCGACGAUUUGGUAUGUAAGUUUGCUGGCUGCUACGACAUGGCACUGAGGGAGCAGACAAGCGGGCAAAAUGACAACGAUGUGAUGAAGUCUGCCUUGGAUAUCUUCCACAGUGACCAGAACCAGAAGUUCAACUUGGAACACGCGUGGAGGGAGCUUAGGCAUGAUGUGAAAUGGUGCUCCACCAACCUUGAGAAAGAAAAGCGCAAACCAGUGGAUCCUGUUGCGAACGAAGGGUCAGUGCCAGAGCCAGAAGAGAGACCAAUUGGAGUGAAGGCUGCGAAGGCUGCUAAAAAGAGAAAGAAAACUGGAAAAGAAGAAGAAUUGGCAAAGCUUGAGAAUUUGUUGGAAAUAAAAAAACAAAUCUCAAAGGAAAGUUUGCUAGAGAGUUUGCUUGCAAAGCCCGAGCCUCUCUCUGAGAUGGAAUCAGCUCUCAAAAUAAAACUUAUGUCUGCUUUGUUGUAGGGUUUGUUAGCUCUAACCUUAGUUUGCCUAUGUCUACUUUACAAUGUGUGCAUUAGACUAGUUUACGAUGUUUGCAUUAGACUAGCUUAGAUGUUUGCAUUAGACUACUUUACGAUGAUAACCUCUGCUUACACACGUGAUUUUGCUCUGUUUCAGGUGAAGUACAAGACCAUGUGCUUGUUGAAGACAAAAGCUGGUAUCUCUUCUCUCUUCAGUCACGGGUGGUUUGUCUCUUUCUCCUUGUAUUUCGAUGUGAACCAAGUCACGGGUGUAUUUGUAUCUUUCUCUUUGUAUUUUCAUGUGAACCAAGUCGUGUACCAUGUUGCCUUUAUAAGUCUGUUUAUGUGAACGAAGUCCUUUGUGCUUCUUCUUCCUUGUAUUGUCUCAAACCGGAUGUAAUGAUGUUUUAGUGUAUUCUAUUUCCUUUGCUCUUCUUCUCCUUGUACAACCUACUUACAAACGAAAUACUCAACCUUCAAAAACUUAAGCAAACUUAAGCAAACGAACCAAGUCGUUGUUGCCAAUCUCCACACGCCUUGAUCGCUGAGACGAGACGUUCAUCCUCUCAUCCCACGACAUAAAACCAUCCUCUCAUCACACGCCUUGUUUCUGUAAGCAUUAGUUUUUGAAAUAGUUUUGCGAAGUAGAAGCCUGUUUACGGUUUACGGUUUGGUCUCCAAUUCAAUUUAUGGGCAUUAUGGUUUUCGAAAUAAGCACAAAGAAGGAUAGUGUGGUUAUUUCCCCUGAGAAAUCACUAUACUAUUUAAUUAAACUCACUUCCACAAAAGUUUUAUUUAUUUAUUUGAUAUAUGUAAAAUUCUACUUUUUACAAGUGAGUGUAUUACGUGACUAAUUAACCCUUUCCUAAUACUAUUAUAUAACAAUUAUCAGCUGAUGACUUUAGUAAUAUAAAUUACGAUUAAUGCAAUUCAAAAAAAUAAUACCAAAAGAAAGUUUAUAAUAAAUAAGUUUAAUAUAAUGUUAAGAGUUCUAAAACGUGUGCCUUGAAAAAUCAGUUUUGAAAGAAGGAUAGGCAAAUAUGGCAGAUGAAGUCGACCGAAGACUCGAUGCGGCUGUCAAUGAGGCUUUUGAUGAAUAUUUUGAAGACACAUACAACAGCAUCAUGGAGAAUCGAACAAAUAAAAAGAAGAAACGUGCAUAUGUCGAACAAAACCGCGAAGCGGGCCACAACCGUCUAUGGAAUGACUAUUUUAGUGAAAAUCCGUCAUUUCCAGAAAAUUUAUUCAGACGUCGUUUUCGCAUGAACAAGCAAGUAUUCAUGCGUAUUAUCGACACCCUCUCAGCAAAUGUUCCAUUCUUUCAGCAAAGGAGAGAUGCAGUCGGACGGUUGGGUCUAUCUACACUACAAAAGUGUACGGCGGUUAUUCGUAUGCUUGCUUAUGGCUGUGCGGCUGACGCCGUCGACGAGUAUCUCCGACUCGGUGAAAGCACCGCACUUUCAUGUUUAACCCAUUUCACAGAUGCUGUAAUUCUAUUAUUUGGAGAAGAAUAUCUACGGAGACCCAAUCCUGAGGAUCUUCAACGUUUACUCAAUAUUGGAGAGAUCCGCGGCUUUCCGGGGAUGAUUGGAAGCAUCGACUGUAUGCAUUGGGAGUGGAAAAAUUGCCCAACCGCUUGGAAAGGACAAUACACACGUGGAUCAGGAAAGCCGACACUUGUUUUGGAGGCUGUGGCGUCACAAGAUCUUUGGAUAUGGCACGCUUAUUUCGGUUCUCCAGGUACCUUAAAUGAUAUUAACGUCCUUGAUCGAUCACCUGUAUUUGAUGACAUUUAUCAAGGUCGAGCUCCAAGGGUAACGUACAUAGUCAACGGACACCAGUAUGAUUUGGCGUACUACCUCACGGACGGUAUAUAUCCAAAAUGGUCAACAUUUAUCCAAUCUAUCACACUCCCUCAAGGUCCUAAAGCAGAGUUAUUUGCUAAAGUUCAAGAAGCUACCCGAAAAAAUGUGGAGCGUGCUUUUGGUGUAUUGCAAGCUCGAUUUGCGAUAGUGAAAAACCCGGCGCUGUCAUUGGACAAGGAAAAAAUAGGGAAGAUUAUGAGAGCAUAUAUCAUACUGCAUAAUAUGAUUGUCGAAAAUGAACGGGGUGGAUACACUCUGUACGAUACAUCUGAAUUUGAAGAAGGAGACUCGAGCAGAAGUUCACAUGUUGAGCAUAUUAACAACAUGCCUACCCAUUUCGGUAAUAUGCUUGGUCUACGGAAUCAUGUUCGAGAUAGGCGUACACACAAAGCAUUGAAAAAUGAUUUAAUCGAAAAUAUUUGGAACAAGUUUGGUGAUGAUGAAGAUGUAUAAUUAUCGUAUGUUUGCUUUUAAUCAUUGAAUAAAAAAAAUUUUAAAUUAAUUUUUUUUUAAAUUUAAUAAUUUUAAAUUCUUAAAGACUUCAUUUUGAGUAACACCAUUGGGCAUACAUUUUAGACUCAAAUCCUUAACUAUUCAAAAAACAAAAAAAAAAUACUAUUAUAAUCCUAAGGACUCCAAUGGUGGGUAACACCAUUGGAGUUGCUCUUAUAUGCUUAUGAGACGGGAAACAUAAUGGAUAGAUUCUCGAACUAGAAAUCCUUCUUGCGGAUUCGAAGUAAGGGAAUACACAGACCUAGAAGAUGAUCGUAAGGAUAGAAAGAUCACCUCGAAGAAUUGUGGUUUCUUCGGAAGCGCUUCCACAAUGAACAUGUGUUCCAAGUGUCAAAACCGAAGGAAGGACCAACCCGAUGUGCUACUUGCAAGAAACGGGUUGGUCUGACUGGAUUCAAAUGUCGCAGUGGUGACCUCUUCUGCGGGACACACCGCUAUGCAGACAUACAUAACUGCUCCUUCAAUUACCAUGUCGCUGUGCAAGAACCUAUAGCUAAAGCAAAUCCAGUUGUGAAGGCAGAGAAGCUUGACAAAAUCUGAA
rnacentral:lncRNA from 1 species